rnacentral:lncRNA from 1 species
UCUGUACAUCUACAUAUAAGUGUAAACCUUAUAUCACCUUCACAUCUAAAAUUACAUUUAUAUCUAAUAACAAUAGUCUAAAUUAUUUCAUAUUUAUUUAUAUAUUUUAUAUUUUAUAUAAAAAUAAAUAGCAAAUUAUGUAAUAAAUUAUUAUAUAAUAAUAUAUUAUUAUCUAUAUAAAAGCAAAGUAUAUAUAUAUAUAUAGAGAGAGAGAGAGAGAGAGAGAGAAUUAUACUGCUAUACUAUAUAUCGAUGUUACCAAGCGCUUGAUACUAUCGAGUUUUCAGCCGUUGGAUGAAAAGAUGUGCGAAUUAGGAUGAUAGUAGUCCCCUAGAGUUGAGUGGUGGUUGGUUGAAUAGUAUAAUCUAACAAGUGAAAAUGAUCAGAGGGUAGAUCUAAUAGCAGAAAACUCGAUAGUACCAAGAGCUUAGUACUAUCGAUAGUAUAGUAGUCGGACUUUCUCUACCAAGCUCUUGGUACUAUCGAGUUAGGAUGAUUGUGAUUUUUUAGGAUUGAGUGAGUGAUUAGUUGAAUAGUAUAAUCUAACGGGUGAAAAUGAUUAAUUAAAUGAUAGAUCCAACGGCCGAAAACUCGAUAGUACCAAGUGCUUGGUACUAUCGAUAGUAUAGUAGCAAGUUAGGUUCCUGUGCUUUUGAAAACACGAAGGCCUUUAUAUUUAUAAAUUCUUUUUGAUGAUAGGACAUCCGAUUUAGUGAUCAGUUCUGUCAAAUAUGAUCUACUAUGUUGGAAUUAUUUAGAAAUCAAAUUUCAUAAUUUUUAAAUUUUCUUUGCUUAUUAAACGAGUAAUAUCAAAAUGAAUGACUAAAUAUAAAAAUUCUAUAAAAAAAUAGUGAUAAAAGACUUAAAUUUUAAAUCUGAAGUAUUAAUCUUGUUCUUGAUAAUAAGUAAAAUUUUAUAUUAAAAUUUAUCUUAUUUGGAUUGUUCUAUACCAUUGAAUUUACAAAUAUGCCACAUCGGCCAUUAAAAUAGUUAUGUUUUAGAUCUUUUGAUCAUUUAGUAAAUGAUGUCUAAAAUUUAUAAAAUUUGAUUUCUAAAUAAUUCUAAUAGUAUAGAUCAUGUCUAACAAGCCGAUUGUCAAAUCAGAUAUCCUAUCAUCGAAAAUAAAUUAUAAGAAUUGAGACCUAUGUACUUUCGAAAGUAUAUGAACAUACACUAUA